rnacentral:lncRNA from 1 species
AAAAAAAAACAAAAUAAAACAAAGGUCUCCCUCCCCCAGACUUAAAACAAGCAUUGUCCUCAAUGAAAGGACAUAAUUAUUAAAGUAAAGAGAAGGAAAGGACAACUCCCUGAUCAAGUUGUAGUGUAGUUAGGCGCUUCCAAAGAAAGCUCCUCUAUACCGACAUCAAUUUUAGUUUUUGCCGUUUUCAUGAAUGGUCUUCCUAAAAUGAUUGGAGCUUUG